AUUGAACGCUGGCGGCAUGCCUUACACAUGCAAGUCGAACGGUAACGCGGGGCAACCUGGCGACGAGUGGCGAACGGGUGCGUAAUGCAUCGGAACGUGCCCAGAAGUGGGGGAUAGCCCGGCGAAAGCCGGAUUAAUACCGCAUGAGACCUGAGGGUGAAAGCGGGGGAUCGCAAGACCUCGCGCUUUUGGAGCGGCCGAUGUCAGAUUAGCUAGUUGGUGGGGUAAAGGCCUACCAAGGCGACGAUCUGUAGCUGGUCUGAGAGGACGACCAGCCACACUGGGACUGAGACACGGCCCAGACUCCUACGGGAGGCAGCAGUGGGGAAUUUUGGACAAAGGGCGCAAGCCUGAUCCAGCCAUGCCGCGUGCGGGAAGAAGGCCUUCGGGUUGUAAACCGCUUUUGUCAGGGAAGAAACGCUCUGGGCUAAUACCCUGGGGUAAUGACGGUACCUGAAGAAUAAGCACCGGCUAACUACGUG
rnacentral:rRNA from 1 species